rnacentral:rRNA from 1 species
UACGAAGGGUGCAAGCGUUACUCGGAAUUACUGGGCGUAAAGGGUGCGUAGGUGGUUCGUUAAGUCUGAUGUGAAAGCCCUGGGCUCAACCUGGGAAUUGCAUUGGAUACUGGCGGGCUAGAGUGUGGUAGAGGAUGGCGGAAUUCCCGGUGUAGCGGUGAAAUGCGUCGAGAUCGGGAGGAACAUCCGUGGCGAAGGCGGGUAACUGGACUGCAACUGACGCUGAGGCGCGAAAGUGUGGGGAGCAAACAGGAUUAGAUACCCUGGUAGU